UCUCAGCGCUGGCAAGGUGUCAAUCCCAAACUCUCUGGAGGCCCGUAAAAAAGGCCGCGGAGGGGACGCCCGGGCGACCGCACCCGAGACGCACGGGCACUACCAGGCCUCUUUCCUCGCCCUUCUUUGCCCGCAGGUGGCCAGGCCCGGACGCACUACGGCGCGGUCCGAGAUGGCGUCCUGUUUCCUCCCCCUCGCGGGGGAGGGUCAGGCGUUUGCCGAUCAGCCGUUGUAGAUUUGUAGGCGAAAGGGAAUCUGGUACUUAUUCCAGAACCUCGUCCCGGAUAAAACGUCCCCGAG
rnacentral:rRNA from 1 species